AUGCUCACAUCAGCAGCACAUAUACUAAAAUUGGAACAAUACAGAGAAGAUUAACAUGGCUUCUGCAAAGAAUAAUGUGAAUUUGUGAAAUGUUCCAUAUUUUU
rnacentral:snRNA from 1 species